GAUGAACGCUAGCGACAGGCCUAACACAUGCAAGUCGAGGGGCAGCGGGAGCGAAGCUUGCUUUGCUUGCCGGCGACCGGCGCACGGGUGAGUAACACGUAUGGAACCUGCCCGCCACAGGGGGAGUAACCGGGAGGAAAUUACCGACUAAUACCCCGUACUGCUCACGGUAGCGCAUGCUACAGAGAGGAAACCGACGAGGGGUGGCGGAUGGCCAUGCGGCGCAUUAGCUAGUUGGCGGGGUAAGU
rnacentral:rRNA from 1 species